rnacentral:rRNA from 1 species
AACGGCCGUACCAUGCUGAAUAUACCGGUUCUCGUUAGAUCACCGAAGUUAAGCAUCAUUGAGCGCGGUCAGUACUUGGGUGGGUGACCACCUGGGAACACUGCGUGCCGUU